AGAGUUUGAUCCUGGCUCAGGAUGAACGCUAGCGGCAGGCUUAACACAUGCAAGUCGAGGGGCAGCGUGGAGUAGCAAUACUCUGACGGCGACCGGCGAAAGGGUGAGUAACGCGUGAGCAACAUGCCCGGUACCGGGGGAUAGUCGAUGGAAACGUCGUGUAAUACCCCGUAACAACAGAGGCCGCAUGACCUUUGUUUAAGAGAUUUAUCGCUACCGGAUUGGCUCGCGUCCCAUUAGGCAGUUGGCGGGUAACGGCCCACCAAACCGACGAUGGGUAGGGGUUCUGAGAGGAAGGUCCCCACAUUGGAACUGAGACACGGUCCAGACUCCUACGGGAGGCAGCAGUGAGGAAUAUUGGACAAUGGCCGAGAGGCUGAUCCAGCCAUGCCGCGUGCGGGAGGACGGCCCUAUGGGUUGUAAACCGCUUUUGUUGGGGAGCAAUAAGGUCCACGUGUGGAUCGACGAGAGUACCCAGCGAAUAAGCAUCGGCUAACUCCGUGCC
rnacentral:rRNA from 1 species